rnacentral:rRNA from 1 species
GCUGGCGGCAGGCUUAACACAUGCAAGUCGAGCGGUAACAGGGGGUGCUUGCACCCCGCUGACGAGCGGCGGACGGGUGAGUAAUGCAUAGGAAACUGCCCAGUAGUGGGGGAUAGCCCGGGGAAACCCGGAUUAAUACCGCGUACGCCCUUCGGGGGAAAGCAGGGGAUCUUCGGACCUUGCGCUAUUGGAUGUGCCUAUGUCGGAUUAGCUAGUUGGUGGGGUAAAGGCCUACCAAGGCGACGAUCCGUAGCUGGUCUGAGAGGAUGAUCAGCCACAUCGGGACUGAGACACGGCCCGAACUCCUACGGGAGGCAGCAGUGGGGAAUAUUGGACAAUGGGCGAAAGCCUGAUCCAGCCAUCCCGCGUGGAGGAUGACUGCCCUACGGGUUGUAAACUCCUUUUAUAUGAGAAGAAACGCCUGGAUUUAUCCGGGCCUGACGGUAUCUUAUGAAUAAGCACCGGCUAACUCCGUGCCAGCAGCCGCGGUAAUACGGAGGGGGCAAGCGUUGUUCGGAUUUACUGGGCGUAAAGGGCGCGUAGGCGGACGGUCAAGUCAGAGGUGAAAGGCCCGGGCUCAACCUGGGACGUGCCUUUGAAACUGAUUGUCUUGAGUGCGGGAGAGGGUGACGGAAUUCCCAGUGUAGAGGUGAAAUUCGUAGAUAUUGGGAAGAACACCGGUGGCGAAGGCGGUCACCUGGCCCGCAACUGACGCUGAGGCGCGAAAGCGUGGGGAGCAAACAGGAUUAGAUACCCUGGUAGUCCA